rnacentral:rRNA from 1 species
CCUACGGGUGGCUGCAGUGGGGAAUAUUGCACAAUGGGCGCAAGCCUGAUGCAGCCAUGCCGCGUGUGUGAAGAAGGCCUUCGGGUUGUAAAGCACUUUCAGCGGGGAGGAAGGCGUUAAGGUUAAUAACCUUGUCGAUUGACGUUACCCGCAGAAGAAGCACCGGCUAACUCCGUGCCAGCAGCCGCGGUAAUACGGAGGGUGCAAGCGUUAAUCGGAAUUACUGGGCGUAAAGCGCACGCAGGCGGUCUGUCAAGUCGGACGUGAAAUCCCCGGGCUCAACCUGGGAACUGCAUUCGAAACUGGCAGGCUAGAGUCUUGUAGAGGGGGGUAGAAUUCCAGGUGUAGCGGUGAAAUGCGUAGAGAUCUGGAGGAAUACCGGUGGCGAAGGCGGCCCCCUGGACAAAGACUGACGCUCAGGUGCGAAAGCGUGGGGAGCAAACAGGAUUAGAUACCCCGGUAGUC